rnacentral:rRNA from 1 species
ACGGGGUGCAGCAGGCGCGAAAACUGACCAAUGCGCGAAAGCGUGAGUCGGUCAAUCCGAGUGUAGACCCAUCGGUUUACUUUUGUCAUGUGUACAACGCUUGGCGAAUAAUGUGAGGGCAAGACUGGUGCCAGCCGCCGCGGUAAAACCAGCUCAUAGAGUGGUGAUCAUGAUUAUUUGGCUUAAAGUGUGCGUAGCAGGGAAUUCUAAGUCCUCUGUGAAAUGUCAGGUCUUAAGCUUGACACGUGCAGAGGAUACUGGAAUCCUUGGGACUGGGAUAGGUGUAAUGUACGGUUUGGGUAGGGGUGAAAUCCGAUAAUCCAAGCCGGACAACCGGUGGCGAAGGCGUUACACUGGAACAGGUCCGACUGUGAGGCACGAAAGCUAGGGUCGCGAGCCGGAUUAGAUACCCGGGUAGUCCUAUGCCGUAAACGAUGCUCACUAAGUGUUAGGUAAUGCAAGACAUUCUCUAGUGCCGAAGCGAAAGCGUUAAGUGAGCCGCCUGGGAAGUACGUUCGCAAGAAUGAAACUUAAAGGAAUUGGCGGGGGCCUACUACAAGAAGUGGAGCCUGCGGUUUAAUUGGACUCAACUCCGGGAAACUCACCUGGGCCGUAACGUGGAUGAUUGUCCUGUUGAGGACACUGCUUGACGCGUUACUGGAGGUGCAUGGCCAUCGUCAGUUCGUGCCGUGAGGUGUCCUGUUAAGUCAGGCAACGAACGAGAUCCCUACCGUCAAUUGCCAGCGAGAC